rnacentral:rRNA from 1 species
CUACGGGUGGCACCAGUGGGGAAUAUUGGACAAUGGGCGCAAGCCUGAUCCAGCAAUGCCGCGUGAGUGAAGACGGCCUUAGGGUUGUAAAACUCUUUCGCUAGGGAAGAUAAUGACUGUACCUAGUAAAGAAGUCCCGGCUAACUCCGUGCCAGCAGCCGCGGUAAUACGGAGGGGACUAGCGUUGUUCGGAAUUACUGGGCGUAAAGAGUUCGUAGGCGGACUGACAAGUUAGAGGUGAAAUCCCAGGGCUCAACCCUGGAACUGCCUUUAAAACUGUCAGUCUAGAGACCGGAAGAGGUUAGGGGAAUACCUAGUGUAGAGGUGAAAUUCGUAGAUAUUAGGUGGAACACCAGUGGCGAAGGCGCCUAACUGGUCCGGUACUGACGCUGAGGAACGAAAGCGUGGGGAGCAAACAGGAUUAGAUACCCUAGUAGUC